UUCCGGUUGAUCCUGCCGGAGGGAACCCCUAUCGGGUUCAGACUAAGCCAUGCGAGUCGGCUGGGGGCACUUGCCCCUGGCGGCGCACGGCUCAGUAAUACGCGGUCAACCUACCCUGGGGACCGGGAUAACCUCGGGAAACUGAGGCUAAUCCCGGAUGGGUGUAGGGUGCUGAAAUGCCCCUACGCCGAAAGUAGGCGGGAAAUGGACCGCUGAGGCCCCAGGAUGGGACCGCGGCCUAUCAGGUAGUAGGUGGGGUAACGGCCCACCUAGCCUACGACGGGUACGGGCCCUGAGAGGGGGAGCCCGGAGAUGGGCACUGAGACAAGGGUCUAGGCCCUAAGGGGCGCAGCAGGCGCGAAGAUUCCGCAAUGCCCGAAAGGGCGACGGAGUGAACCCGAGUGCCACCCGCUGAGGGUGGCUGUUCCCCUGUGUAAAAAGCAGGGGGUAGGAAGGGGAGGGCAAGGCUGGUGGCAGCCGCCGCGGUAAAACCAGCUCCCCGAGGGGUUCCCACGCAUACUGGGCCUAAAGCGUCCGUAGCCGGCCCUGUAAGUCCGCAGUUAAAUCCGCCUGUAGACAGGCGGGCUGCUGCGGAUACUGCAGGGCUAGGGAGCGGGAGGAGCCGGGGGUAUUCCCGGGGGAGCGGUAAAAUGCGUAGAUCCCGGGAGGACCACCAGUGGCGAAGGCGCCCGGCUUGAACGCGUCCAACGGU
rnacentral:rRNA from 1 species